rnacentral:rRNA from 1 species
AUCUAUAGCCAUACCACCCUGAACAUGCCCGAUCUUGUCUGAUCUCGGAAGCUAAGCAGGGUCGGGACUGGUUAGUACUUGGAUGGGAGAAGGCACGUGGAAAGCUGAUCGGCAGAAU